rnacentral:rRNA from 1 species
CAGUCGCCACGGGAGUACGAAGGGGGCUAGCGUUGCUCGGAAUGACUGGGCGUAAAGGGCGCGUAGGCGGCGAUCAAAGUCAGGCGUGAAAUUCCUGGGCUCAACCUGGGGGCUGCGUUUGAUACUUGAUUGCUAGAGUGGGGAAGAGGGUCGUGGAAUUCCCAGUGUAGAGGUGAAAUUCGUAGAUAUUGGGAAGAACACCGGUGGCGAAGGCGGCGACCUGGUCCUUGACUGACGCUGAGGCGCGAAAGCGUGGGGAGCAAACAGGAUUAGAUACCCCCGUAGUCCCUGUCUCUUAUAC